rnacentral:rRNA from 1 species
GACGAACGCUGGCGGCGUGCGUAACACAUGCAAGUCGAACGAGAGAGUGAGAGAAGCUUGCUUUUUUAUGAUCGAGUGGCAAACGGGUGAGUAACGCGUAAACAACCUGCCCCGCAGAUGGGGACAACAGCUGGAAACGGCUGCUAAUACCGAAUACGCUCCUCUUAGCGCAUGGUAAGAGGAAGAAAGGGUGGCCUCUGGAACAAGCUACCGCUGUGGGAGGGGUUUGCGUCUGAUUAGCUGGUUGGAGGGGUAACGGCCCACCAAGGCGACGAUCAGUAGCCGGUCUGAGAGGAGAACGGCCACAUUGGAAUGAGACACGGUCCAGACUCCUCGGGAGGCAGCAGGGGGAAUCUUCCGCAAUGCGAAAUCCUGUCGGAGCAACCGCGUGAGUGAAGAUGGCCUUCGGGUUGUAAAGCUCUGUUAUAGGGGACGAACGGCCGGGUAGCGAAGAGGUAGCCGGCAUGACGGUACCGUAAGAGAAAGCCACGGCUAACUACGUGCCAGCAGCCGCGGUAAUACGUAGGUGGCAAGCGUUGUCCGGAAUGAUUGGGCGUAAAGGGCGCGCAGGCGGCUGUGUAAGUCUGUCUAAAAAGUGCGGGGCUAAACCCCGUGAGAGGAUGGAAACUGGACAGCUGAGAGUGUCGGAGAGGAAAGCGGAAUUCCUAGUGUAGCGGUGAAAUGCGUAGAUAUUAGGAGGAACACCGGUGGCGAAAGCGGCUUUCUGGACGACAACUGACGCUGAGGCGCGAAAGCCAGGGGAGCAAACGGGAUUAGAUACCCCGGUAGUCCUGGCCGUAAACGAUGGGUACUAGGUGUAGGAGGUAUCGACCCCUCCUGUGCCGGAGUUAACGCAAUAAGUACCCCGCCUGGGGAGUACGGCCGCAAGGCUGAAACUCAAAGGAAUUGACGGGGGCCCGCACAAGCGGUGGAGUAUGUGGUUUAAUUCGACGCAACGCGAAGAACCUUACCAAGCCUUGACAUUG